rnacentral:rRNA from 1 species
GCUAAACGCGAAGAACCUUACCCAGGCUUGACAUCCUGCUAAAGACCCCGAAAGGGGACUGUGCCUUCGGGCCGCAGUGACAGGUGAUGCAUGGCCGUCGUCAGCUCGUGUCGUGAGAUGUUUGGUUAAGUCCAUCAACGAGCGCAACCCUUAUAGUUAGUUGUAUUUCUCUAGCUAGACUGCCCUGGUAACAGGGAGGAAGGAGGGGAUGAUGUCAGGUCAGUAUUUCCCUUACGUCUGGGGCUACAAACACGCUACAAUGGCCGGUACAAAGGGCAGCCAACCCGCGAGGGGGAGCAAAUCCCAUCAAAGCCGGUCUCAGUUCGGAUAGCAGGCUGAAACUCGCCUGCUUGAAGUUGGAAUCGCUAGUAACGGUAGGUCAGCACACUACCGUGAAUACGUUCCCGGGUCUUGUACACACCG